rnacentral:tRNA from 1 species
GGGGGUGUAGCUCAUAUGGUAGAGCGCUCGCUUCGCAUGCGAGAGGCACGGGGUUUAAUUCCUCACACCUCCA